GGUUCUGUUCCUGACUGCUGACUUUUCUAAUCUCUACCUCAGCAGGCUCCUUAGCUGGGUAUGUUUCUACCUGAUCUACAAAGAUCCUGUGCCAGUUAUGGAACGGAAAUUAGACUGACAGUUUGUGGGGGAAGGGGCCAACUGGGAGUGGCAGUUGGGUCUUGUGACUAGCACUUCCUUCCUGCCGGGUGGGACUUGCUUCCGGGUGUUGGAGGAGGAAGGAGCUUGUUCAGCCCAGUCUGGUGUGGUGUGCCGCCUCUUCUUGGUUCAGCCCGAAGAUUCAGGCCCAUUCAUCUCUGAAGGGAAAGGAAACUUAAAGAACACAAGCAAACCACAAAACAAUGUCUUCAAGGAAACCUCCCAUCUCCCCCUCCAGCCUGGCCCCAUCAAUGAUCUUCCUCCUCCUCCUCUAAUCCAAAGUACCUUAUACCUUCUAAAUAAUUAUCAGAGCACCAUUAAAUCAAAAGCUCCUUGAAAGUUGGAGCUUUAAAAAGC